UACGGAGGGUGCAAGCGUUAUCCGGAUUCACUGGGUUUAAAGGGUGCGUAGGUGGUGGGGUAAGUCGGAUGUGAAAUCCCGGGGCUCAACCCCGGAACUGCAUUCGAAACUGCCUUGCUCGAGUACUGGAGAGGAGACUGGAAUUUACGGUGUAGCAGUGAAAUGCGUAGAUAUCGUAAGGAAGACCAGUGGCGAAGGCGAGUCUCUGGACAGUUACUGACACUGAGGCACGAAGGCCAGGGGAGCAAACGGG
rnacentral:rRNA from 1 species